rnacentral:lncRNA from 1 species
CCUGCCAAUUACAAAGAUAUUUUCUAUGUGCUGUCUAUCUCGUCUGUGUAAGAGUGUUAGGAGUAUUGUUUGUCAAGGUUUCCAUAUCUGUAGAGGACAAAAGAACAGUUACAUGUUAUGGUAAGUUUUUUUCAUAAAAUUUUAUUAAAUUUCUAAGUCUAUUAUCAUGUUAAUGGGAACAUAUGUUUUGAAUUUGACAUUCUUCAAAUC